AUUGAACGCUGGCGGCAUGCCUUACACAUGCAAGUCGAACGGUAACAGUCCUACGGAUGCUUACGAGUGGCGAACGGGUGAGGAAUACAUCGGAACGUGUCUAGUAGGGGGGGAUAACUACUCGAAAGAGUGACUAAUAGCGAAUGAGAACUAAGGACGAAAGCAGGGCAUCGCAAGACCUUGUGCUACUAGAGCGGGCGGUGGCAGAUUAGGUAGUUGGUGGGAUAAGGGCUUACCAAGCGGACGAUCUGUAGCGGGACUGAGAGGACGAUCAGCCACACUGGGACUGAGAAACGGCCCAGACUCCUACGGGAGGCAGCAGUGGGGAAUUUUGGACAAUGGGCGAAAGCCUGACCCAGCAACGCCGCGUGCGGGAUGAAGGUCUUCGGGUUGUAAACUGCUUUUGUAAGGAAAGAAAAGCCCCGGGUGAAUCUCUUCGGGUCAUGACGGUACCGUAAGAAAAAGCACCGGCUAACUACGUGCCAGCAGCCGCCGUAA
rnacentral:rRNA from 1 species